rnacentral:rRNA from 1 species
UGCCAGCCGCCGCGGUAAUACGGAGGGUGCAAGCGUUGCUCGGAAUCACUGGGCGUAAAGGGUCCGCAGGCGGCUCAAUCAGUCGGGUGUGAAAUCCCGGGGCCCAACCCCGGAACUGCAUUCGAAACUGCCUGGCUAGAGUCUCGGAGAGGGUGGCGGAAUUCCCGGUGUAGAGGUGAAAUUCGUAGAUAUCGGGAGAAACACCAGUGGCGAAGGCGGCCACCUGGACGAUGACUGACGCUGAGACGCGAAAGCGUGGGGAGCGAACGGGAUUAGAUA